rnacentral:rRNA from 1 species
GAUGAACGCUGGCGGCGUGCCUAAUACAUGCAAGUCGAGCGAACAGAUGAGGAUUUUGCUCCGCUUACGUUAGCGGCGGACGGGUGAUUAACACGUGGAUAACCUACCUAUAAGACUGGGAUAACUUCGGGAAACCGGAGCUAAUACCGGAUAAUAUAUUGAACCGCAGGGUUCAAUAGUGAAAGACGGUUUUGCUGUCACUUAUAGAUAGAUCCGCGCCGCAUUAGCUAGUUGGUAAGGUAACGGCUUACCAAGGCAACGAUGCGUAGCCGACCUGAGAGGGUGAUCGGCCACACUGGAACUGAGACACGGUCCAGACUCCUACGGGAGGCAGCAGUAGGGAAUCUUCCGCAAUGGGCGAAAGCCUGACGGAGCAAUGCCGCGUGAGUGAUGAAGGUCUUCGGAUCGUAAAACUCUGUUAUUAGGGAAGAACAAAAGUGUAAGUAACUAUGCACGUCUUGACGGUACCUAAUCAGAAAGCCACGGCUAACUACGUG